rnacentral:lncRNA from 1 species
GGCUCCCCUUACCCGGCUCAGGUGGUAGCCGGCGUGUCCCUGAGCCCGCGCCCGGCGCUCUGAGAGGGUGGCCGUGGUUAAUUCCCGGUAGUGACCGCCAUAGCGCCACGUGGCCGCUGCUUGACAAAGGAAACUUUUUUCAACCUCCAGUGAGCCUAAGAAAGCCCCAGCAUUUCAGGCCAAGCCGCUGGCUGCCUGGCUUCUGUUUUUACUCCUUUCCUUCUGUCCCUUUCUGGGACGAGCCACACCUUCUCUGCUUUCUCUGGGCCCGUCCAGGACGCUGGGCCCGGGGCCUGGCGCGGUGAGCUGCAGAUAGCCGGGGGCGCAGGGCAGCCCGGAGGCCGGAGGGCGACCUGGAAGGCUGGACCCGUGCGGGGCGUCUGGUGCUCAAGGAAAGUCAGCUCCCGCCGCCCCUCAGGGCCAGGUGGGUGCAUGAAGUACCCGGUGGCCCAGGUGCCUUUCCCCAACCCAAGGAGCUCAGAACUCUUGGCAGUUCGACGUUUGCAAACAAACCAAAGAGGAGCAGAAAGUUUUCAGACUGAGGCGACAUCCCAACAGCUUGGCUUGAAGGAGUACUUUAGGACUCAGAACAACAGGAUGAAGACAGCAGCUAAAAUAGAACACACCAGCAGAGACAUUCAGCUCCUCGAGCUGUGCUUCCGAAGCUCGAGCAUGGCAGAGUGGCCUUGUUAAAUCAGAGUUCAGGGUGCCACCCUGACAGUUUCUGGUUCUGUAGGUGCCCAGUAGGGACCAAGAAUCCUUUUUUUUUUCCUUUUUCUUUUUAAUAGAGUCAGAGUCUUGCUGUGUUGCCCACAUGGGUCUCAAACUCAAGCAAUCCUCCCACCUCGACCUCCCAAAGCACUGGAAUUCCAGGCAUAAGCCACCGUGCCUGGCCAAGAACAUUUUUUUUUUUUUAACAAGUUUCUAAAUGAUGCUGGUCUACUGGUCCUGGGACCACACUUUGAAAUUGGUGGGAUAGGGGGCUGGGAUCUUUAUCCAUUCACUCAACUCCCAUUCCCCAUGGUUGAAAGUUUCCCUGGGGCAUCCCUGGGAGGCCUGGGGGCUGACAAGAUUCAAACUUUUUGGUGAAAAGCCCCAAGACAGUGAAGUGGGGUGUGCUUGAAGUGGGGCACCGUCAUCACCCACCUACCCACCACAGAGGUGGGCUAAAAGGUUACCAGACCGGAGCCUCCAGCAAUCCAGGAGCACAAACAAGGAUGCCUUAAAACAAAACUUGUGUCAGGGUACCCUUCGCUGCCUCAGAGGAAAUCAGAAUGACCUGGUGGACAACUGUUCAUAAGGACAAGAGCCAGCAUCACUGCCUUUGAGUCCCAGCCUCCUCAAAUCCAUUUUCUGCCCUGCACCACCUCAUCAUAUCCCAGAUAUUGUUAGUGUCGUGUCAUUUCAUGACUCAGGAGCUGCGGGUGACUUUGGUAAGAGCGGAGCGGUCGCUGUCUCAUCUGUCACCUCCUCCCUUCACCUCUGUGCAGCCAACAUCCAGGGAGCCUGCCUCUUGCUGUCCUUUUCAAAGCUUUCUGGGUCUCUCCUCUGUGCCUCUGAUCCAGUCUUUCAUGCUGCCCAGAACACUGUCUCUUUCUCCCAUGCCAGUGACAUCCAUUACUUUCUUCAAGGUCUGGCUCAAAACCCAGCACUCAGCCAGGCACGGUGGCUCACACCUGUAAUCCCACCACUUUG